AAGGCAAAGUUUAUAAUUGCCAUUACGACGAACCUUCUCGUGAUCGAUAUAGUUCUAUUUUACUAACCUACAUUCGAAUGGCGGUGCGAGGCUAGGGUAUAUCCUUUUAAAGGAUCCAUCAGUAAGCCGCUUUAACAAGAGGAUAUAAUGGAUUGAUGGCCGAAAGUUUAUCGAGGGGUCGUUCGACGGCGUACGCGGAUCGUGGUUCGAAGUAGAAUAUUUGCCCUUAUGAGGGAAUAUCCUUCAUAGAAAAGAAUAUUUCAUCUCGGUAUCUUUUUGGAUUCAAUCUUUUUCCAUCCUCCAAGGAAUUCAAGGCAGUCGAGGAGAGAAAAUGAAGAUCAAUAAUAACGUUGACAGCGUUCUUCAGUGGAUAUCGAAUUAAUCUUAAUUUGGAUUGCAAUUAAUAUAAAUAUAAAUAUGUAUAUAUAUAUAUAUAUAUAUAUAUAUAUAUAUAUAUAUAUAUAUAUAUAUAUAUAUCAUAAUAUUGAUUUACAUACCGUUGGUAAGAUUUGGAACGAUAAGGAAAAUCUUAUGAUGAUUAACAAUGAUUCCAAAAGGAAAAAUUUGGGAAUCAAAGCUGAAGAUGAAGAGGAAGUAGAAGGAGUAACAGGAGAUGAAGAAGUUGAUGGGGACGGUGAAUUUAAUUCUAAUCAAGCGGAUGAUGGUCUCUCGCCGAUCAUUGAUUUUGCAAUUCUCGAUUUGAAUUCAAAUGUUCAUAACGCGGUGUAUCGUAAGGACGAAGUUGAAUGGAUCAUCCUGAUCUUGCGGGAAUAAUAAUAAUAAUACGGAAAUAACAGAGAAUAAUAUCGACAAGAGAAACGAAUAAUAGUUUCGAAAGCUUAUUCAUGGAUUCAGGAAUGAGCUCAGAAGAAAUCGAAAUGAAACCAAGUGAUCGAAAGGAUAUGGGUAUGGAGAAUAACCAAUAGAUGGAUUCGUAAGGAGAAAAAGGAAUCAAAAACGUAUAAGAAGGUUGAAAACAAGCAGAAAAUUUCCCUCUACCAUAGUAUCGAUCAUAAAUUAUUGGUAACAUUGUGAAGAGAUAGUCGAGGUUACUACCCUCGCGAAUAUAUGAAAAAGAGGGGAUAGAACAAAACUGCGCACGCUCGACUCUAUGUAACAGAUUACUAGCUAUCUACAGGAGUUGAAACUCUCGUUCACUUCGUAUCGAGUCGUCUCUUGAGCAAGUUCCUAGGACUUACAGAAGAGGAAGCACCUAGAGUUAUAUAUUAGUCACUGAUCCAAAGCGAUAAUGGAAAUCAUCUUCUUAAACAAGAUCCCUUCGUUAGGCACUCUUGCAAGGCACAAUUAUUAAUAGAGGGAGAUGACACUAUUUUCGCUACUUACUUGAAGGUAGACGGAUUCGAUGUGUACGUAAAUACAUAUACGUAUAUAUAUAUAUAUAUAUAUAUAUAUAUAUAUAUAUAUAUAUAUACACACCUCUUCCUCCGUACUGUGUACUUUCUAUGUAUUAAAGUCUAAUUAUGUACAAAUUUAUUUAUGUAUUUGUCUACAAAAUAACCUACUAUCUAUAUCUAUCUGAGGAUCAUCAAUGUUGUAAAUCGAAAUAACAUCAAAAAGAAAAUGAAUAGAUAAAUUAAAACGAAAAAGGAUAUUUAAAUUAAAGAAGAAAGGGGAUAUUGAUUAAAAUGAAAAAAGAAAUUUUUAUUAAAGAAGAAUGUAGAAUCGCCGGUUAUAUUCUUCAUUUUCUUGGCAACAGCGAGAGAGCUUCCACGUUCAUUCGUCGAAGUGCAAAGGAAAACUGACACGAUAAUCGUACAAAUCAAUCAUUUUUUGACUUUCCACGUAGCGAACGAGCGUCAUAUUAAACUUUAAGUCUAGCAGAAAAUAAAACAAAAUCCUGGCAGGUGUUCCGUAGCGCGUAACAUUUUACGGAAUUUACUAUUCCUUAAAUAGUGGUUUAUUUAACUCGUACAUCUAUAUAGUUUAAAUUAUCUAAAGCAUUAAGUUUGAAGUUUCCACCUUUUGAAAAAGAGGGCAAUCGGCAAAGUCACUCAAAAGUUCGUUUCUGUUGACAUUAUGUGUAUCUACGCAACUCAUAUGGAACCACCCCGAGAACAAAAUUAUAAAUUAUUGAAAUUUUAGUUUAAAAUUAUCUUAUGUUCCCCAUGCGCUCCGAUAUUCGUAAUGUUUAAGCGAAUAUAAUAUCGUUUAAAUAUUACGAUCAUGAAAACAAUUCAUCUGUCGAUUAUUUAUUAUUUCUAAGUUGAAAUGCUAUAAUCGUUAGUAAAGUAAUAAUAAUUUUCGAUUUUCUAAAGAGCAAGGAAAAUGAUACAAAUUCUAUUUUCUUUCAGUAAACGUAUAAAAAGCCCCGAAUAUUUUGAUAUUUUUCCGUAUUUACCAUAUGUACUCGGCGCCCUUUCGAAAGUUAAUCAGCAGCAACACGGCAUUUCGUCCCGCAAACGUGGUUCAUAUUAUAACAUAUUACAUAAUUGCAUUUUGAUUUAUACAAAUUUAUAUACAUCGACGAACAAAUUUCUUGCAAAAGAAAUCAAAAUUCUAUUCCACAUAAUUUUCUGCGAUACCCAUGAUAAGUUUUGAAACAAUUCUAGUAUACGAUUUUGUUGUUUCUCUUAAUUUGUCAUAAAUUUGUUCAUAGAUUUAUUGCAAUUAAUUGGUUCGAAAAAAAGUAAGGGCAGAGUAGCAGAUCAAAUUCAAUUCGUAAUUCAUUUGAAAACCUUAUUUGUUAAUAUUUCAUAAAAUCGGACCAUUUCUUUAAUAUUUUUUAAUCUCCAACACUUUCCGAAUACAUAUUUGGUUGCAUUCUCUUUAUUAUUGUUUUUUUUAAUAGUAAUUUUAUGUUCACUUACUUUGAAUUUUGCAUUUAAUUUCCUGGCAAAAAAUACAUUAAAUAAUAAUAAAUAAAAUUUUUUUAAAUUAAAUGAAAAGCAAACAUUUUUCAACAGUCGAGAUUACAUUUAUCUUUGUUGCAAAGAUAUAUGAAAGUAUGGAAUCGGUGUAAGUUGCUUCAUUUUACCGAGAAACAUUUCUUUACUUCUUUCUUAAUGACAUCUUUCGUUGUCUUUCAAUUUAUUUUUCAAGUUGCUCUUUAAUUUCAUUUUCAUUUAUCAACAUGUAGACAAAUGUGUGAAUAAAUAGGUAUGUAAAUGUAUUAGAUUCUAGUAUAUAGUAAGAUAUAUAUAUAUAUAUAUAUAUAUAUAUAUAUAUAUAUUUAUAUAUAUAUAUAUACAGAUAUGAAUGUAUGUAUUUGUGUAUAUAUGUAUAGAGUCCGUCUGCCGUGUGAAAAGAACAAUCAAAGUUGCAUUCAUGAACACAUCAGCCAGACCAAAUGAAGAAAAAUUAUUUAUCCAAAUUUUCACGAUGCAAACUUUUAGAAUUCUGACGAACGCACGAUAAUGAUUCUACGCCUCUCUAUUAAUAAUAGGACUGGCUGUACAAAAGUAAUUGGCAUAAUGAUGAAUUCAGAGAUAAAAAAAGUAUGGUUUAUUAUUGGUAUUAAAAUAUGGUUUAUAUUAUCGAGGGUAUGUUGUUUAAAACGAUAUAGAUGAUAUAGAAUUCAUUAUCGUGGAUGGUUCGUGGCCAAUAUAUUAUUCUGGGCCUUUCUCUUCUGUAACUCUUAGGAACAUGCUUAAAUGACGACACAAUAAACAAAUUGUACUUCCUUUUAAAGGAUACAAUAAAUUCAAGAAUGAAAUCACA